rnacentral:rRNA from 1 species
AGAGUUUGAUCCUGGCUCAGAUUGAACGCUGGCGGCAUGCCUAACACAUGCAAGUCGAACGCGAAAGUCCUCUUCGGAGGGCGAGUAGAGUGGCGGACGGGUGAGUAAUACUUGGGAAUCUACCCAACAGUGAGGAAUAACCCGGGGAAACUCGGGCUAAUACCGCAUAAGUUCCACGGAAGAAAGGGGGCCUCUUUAUAAAAGCUCCCGCUGAUGGAUGAGCCCAAGUCGGAUUAGCUGGUUCGUGAGGUAAUAGCUCACGAAGGCAACGAUCCGKAGCUGGUCUGAGAGGAUGAUCAGCCACACUGGGACUGAGACACGGCCCAGACUCCUACGGGAGGCAGCAGUGGGGAAUAUUGGACAAUGGGCGAAAGCCUGAUCCAGCAAUGCCGCGUGUGUGAAGAAGGCCUGCGGGUUGUAAAGCACUUUCAGCAGGGAAGAAACGCCGGGGACUAAUACUCCCUCGGUACUGACGUUACCUGCACAAGAAGCACCGGCUAACUCCGUGCCAGCAGCCGCGGUAAUACGGAGGGUGCGAGCGUUAAUCGGAAUUACUGGGCGUAAAGCGCGCGUAGGCGGUUGAGUAAGUCAGAUGUGAAAUCCCCGGGCUUAACCUGGGAAUUGCAUUUGAUACUACCCGACUAGAGUAUGGGAGAGGGAAGUGGAAUCUCCGGUGUAGCGGUGAAAUGCGUAGAGAUCGGAGGGAACACCAGUGGCGAAAGCGGCUUCCUGGCCCAAUACUGACGCUCAGGCGCGAAAGCGUGGGGAGCAAACAGGAUUAGAUACCCUGGUAGUCCACGCCGUARACGAUGAGAACUUGAUGUCGGGAGGGUUUGCCUCUCGGUGUCGAAGCUAACGCGUUAAGUUCUCCGCCUGGGGAGUACGGCCGCAAGGUUGAAACUCAAGGAAUUGACGGGACCCGCACAAGCGGUGAGCAUGUGUUUAAUUCGAUGCACGCGAAGAACCUUACCCGCCUUGACAUCCUUGGAAUCUCCCAGAGAUGGGAGAGUGCCUUCGGGAUCCGGGUGACAGGUGCUGCAUGGCUGUCGUCAGCUAGUGUCCUGGAAUGUUGGCUUG